GUCUAACGGUAGGACAGCAGACUCUGAAUCUGCUUAUUUUGGUUCGAAUCCAAACUGGGCAG
rnacentral:tRNA from 1 species